AGCACAGAGCAAUCUGUGUGACUGCGUACCUUUUGUAUAAUGGGUCAGCGACUUAUAUUCUGUAGCAAGGUUAACCGAAUAGGGGAGCCGAAGGGAAACCGAGUCUUAACUGGGCGUUAAGUUGCAGGGUAUAGACCCGAAACCCGGUGAUCUAGCCAUGGGCAGGUUGAAGGUUGGGUAACACUAACUGGAGGACCGAACCGACUAAUGUUGAAAAAUUAGCGGAUGACUUGUGGCUGGGGGUGAAAGGCCAAUCAAACCGGGAGAUAGCUGGUUCUCCCCGAAAGCUAUUUAGGUAGCGCCUCGUGAAUUCAUCUCCGGGGGUAGAGCACUGUUUCGGCAAGGGGGUCAUCCCGACUUACCAACCCGAUGCAAACUGCGAAUACCGGAGAAUGUUAUCACGGGAGACACACGGCGGGUGCUAACGUCCGUCGUGAAGAGGGAAACAACCCAGACCGCCAGCUAAGGUCCCAAAGUCAUGGUUAAGUGGGAAACGAUGUGGGAAGGCCCAGACAGCCAGGAUGUUGGCUUAGAAGCAGCCAUCAUUUAAAGAAAGCGUAAUAGCUCACUGGUCGAGUCGGCCUGCGCGGAAGAUGUAACGGGGCUAAACCAUGCACCGAAGCUGCGGCAGCGACACUGUGUGUUGUUGGGUAGGGGAGCGUUCUGUAAGCCUGUGAAGGUGUGCUGUGAGGCAUGCUGGAGGUAUCAGAAGUGCGAAUGCUGACAUAAGUAACGAUAAAGCGGGUGAAAAGCCCGCUCGCCGGAAGACCAAGGGUUCCUGUCCAACGUUAAUCGGGGCAGGGUGAGUCGACCCCUAAGGCGAGGCCGAAAGGCGUAGUCGAUGGGAAACAGGUUAAUAUUCCUGUACUUGGUGUUACUGCGAAGGGGGGACGGAGAAGGCUAUGUUGGCCGGGCGACGGUUGUCCCGGUUUAAGCGUGUAGGCUGGUUUUCCAGGCAAAUCCGGAAAAUCAAGGCUGAGGCGUGAUGACGAGGCACUACGGUGCUGAAGCAACAAAUGCCCUGCUUCCAGGAAAAGCCUCUAAGCAUCAGGUAACAUCAAAUCGUACCCCAAACCGACACAGGUGGUCAGGUAGAGAAUACCAAGGCGCUUGAGAGAACUCGGGUGAAGGAACUAGGCAAAAUGGUGCCGUAACUUCGGGAGAAGGCACGCUGAUAUGUAGGUGAAGUCCCUCGCGGAUGGAGCUGAAAUCAGUCGAAGAUACCAGCUGGCUGCAACUGUUUAUUAAAAACACAGCACUGUGCAAACACGAAAGUGGACGUAUACGGUGUGACGCCUGCCCGGUGCCGGAAGGUUAAUUGAUGGGGUCAGCGCAAGCGAAGCUCUUGAUCGAAGCCCCGGUAAACGGCGGCCGUAACUAUAACGGUCCUAAGGUAGCGAAAUUCCUUGUCGGGUAAGUUCCGACCUGCACGAAUGGCGUAAUGAUGGCCAGGCUGUCUCCACCCGAGACUCAGUGAAAUUGAACUCGCUGUGAAGAUGCAGUGUACCCGCGGCAAGACGGAAAGACCCCGUGAACCUUUACUAUAGCUUGACACUGAACAUUGAGCCUUGAUGUGUAGGAUAGGUGGGAGGCUUUGAAGUGUGGACGCCAGUCUGCAUGGAGCCGACCUUGAAAUACCACCCUUUAAUGUUUGAUGUUCUAACGUGGACCCGUGAUCCGGGUUGCGGACAGUGUCUGGUGGGUAGUUUGACUGGGGCGGUCUCCUCCUAAAGAGUAACGGAGGAGCACGAAGGUUGGCUAAUCCUGGUCGGACAUCAGGAGGUUAGUGCAAUGGCAUAAGCCAGCUUGACUGCGAGCGUGACGGCGCGAGCAGGUGCGAAAGCAGGUCAUAGUGAUCCGGUGGUUCUGAAUGGAAGGGCCAUCGCUCAACGGAUAAAAGGUACUCCGGGGAUAACAGGCUGAUACCGCCCAAGAGUUCAUAUCGACGGCGGUGUUUGGCACCUCGAUGUCGGCUCAUCACAUCCUGGGGCUGAAGUAGGUCCCAAGGGUAUGGCUGUUCGCCAUUUAAAGUGGUACGCGAGCUGGGUUUAGAACGUCGUGAGACAGUUCGGUCCCUAUCUGCCGUGGGCGCUGGAGAACUGAGGGGGGCUGCUCCUAGUACGAGAGGACCGGAGUGGACGCAUCACUGGUGUUCGGGUUGUCAUGCCAAUGGCACUGCCCGGUAGCUAAAUGCGGAAGAGAUAAGUGCUGAAAGCAUCUAAGCACGAAACUUGCCCCGAGAUGAGUUCUCCCUGACCCUUUAAGGGUCCUGAAGGAACGUUGAAGACGACGACGUUGAUAGGCCGGGUGUGUAAGCGCAGCGAUGCGUUGAGCUAACCGGUACUAAUGAACCGUGAGGCUUAACCUU
rnacentral:rRNA from 1 species